rnacentral:rRNA from 1 species
GACGAACGCUGGCGGCGUGCUUAACACAUGCAAGUCGAACGGUAAGGCCCUUCGGGGUACACGAGUGGCGAACGGGUGAGUAACACGUGGGUGAUCUGCCCUGCACUUCGGGAUAAGCCUGGGAAACUGGGUCUAAUACCGGAUAGGACCACUGCCUGCAUGGGUGGUGGUGGAAAGCUUUUGCGGUGUGGGAUGGGCCCGCGGCCUAUCAGCUUGUUGGUGGGGUGAUGGCCUACCAAGGCGACGACGGGUAGCCGGCCUGAGAGGGUGACCGGCCACACUGGGACUGAGAUACGGACCAGACUCCUACGGGAGGCAGCAGUGGGGAAUAUUGCACAAUGGGCGCAAGCCUGAUGCAGCGACGCCACGUGAGGGAUGACGGCCUUCGGGUUGUAAACCUCUUUCAGCACCGACGAAGCGCAAGUGACGGUAGGUGCAGAAGAAGGACCGGCCAACUACGUGCCAGCCGCCGCCGUAACAC